rnacentral:rRNA from 1 species
AUUGAACGCUGGCGGCAUGCCUUACACAUGCAAGUCGAACGGCAGCACGGGUGCUUGCACCUGGUGGCGAGUGGCGAACGGGUGAGUAAUACAUCGGAACAUGUCCUGUAGUGGGGGAUAGCCCGGCGAAAGCCGGAUUAAUACCGCAUACGAUCUACGGAUGAAAGCGGGGGACCUUCGGGCCUCGCGCUAUAGGGUUGGCCGAUGGCUGAUUAGCUAGUUGGUGGGGUAAAGGCCUACCAAGGCGACGAUCAGUAGCUGGUCUGAGAGGACGACCAGCCACACUGGAACUGAGACACGGCCCAGACUCCUACGGGAGGCAGCAGUGGGGAAUUUUGGACAAAGGGCGAAAGCCUGAUCCAGCAAUGCCGCGUGUGUGAAGAAGGCCUUCGGGUUGUAAAGCACUUUUGUCCGGAAAGAAAUCCUUGGCCCUAAUACGGUCGGGGGAUGACGGUACCGGAAGAAUAAGCACCGGCUAACUACGUG